rnacentral:rRNA from 1 species
CCAAUAGCGUAUAUUAAAGUUGUUGCAGUUAAAAAGCUCGUAGUUGAAUUUCGGGGUUCUACCGUCGGUCGGGCUAACAAGUCUGUACUGGUGUGUAGAACUUCUACCUUCUGGGGAACUAUCAUGUUAUUAAUUUAGCGUGGUAGGAAACCAGGACCUUUACCUUGAAAAAAUUAGAGUGUUCAAAGCAGGCUUAAGUCUGAAUACAUUAGCAUGGAAUAAUAGAAUAGGACGGUGGUCCUGUUUUGUUGGUUUCUGAAUCACCGUAAUGAUUAAUAGGGAUAGUUUGGGGCAUUAGUAUUCAAUUGUCAGAGGUGAAAUUCUUGGAUUUAUUGAAGACUAACUUCUGCGAAAGCAUUUGCCAAGGAUGUUUUCAUUAAUCAAGAACGAAAGUUAGGGGAUCGAAGACGAUCAGAUACCGUCGUAGUCUUAACCAUAAACUAUGCCGACUAGGGAUCGGACGAUGUUAAAUUUUAUUGACUCGUUCGGCGCCUUACG